UAAUUAAUGACAUCUAAAAUUCACAUUGCCAUAUUUCCAGAUAUUAUAAAGUAAAAUAUGUGGAACGAAACGCGAUCAUUCGAGGGAUGCUUACUUUUUCCUAGCAUGAAAGCGUUCCUCGCGCACGCACGAAUGACAAUUUCAUUUGAUCGCUCGUCAAAUCUUUAGUCGUAUAUAUCGAAUACCCCGGGGGAACCUCUAACGCAGUUUCCGAUGCGAUCAAUCGGAUUUCCGCUUUCCAGUCCAGUUAAAUACGCCUUCAUCUGUCGCUCCUGCCUGUGAAAGAGGUGUGAGACUUUUCAAAUGUGCUCUCUUUUCUGCUAUGAACCCGCCAAGUAACGUCAUGUUCAUAAGAGCAACCUGCAAAAGAAGCAUGAAUGUGCUGUGGCAUUCCCUUCGUCGGAAACUCACGUGCGCAAUGCGACGAAAUGCACUUUUAAUAAAGCCACCACGGUGUGCAUCAUGACCUUUCUCUCGGCCAGUUUUUGCAUAUGCAUAGACACAGCUAACACAUUUAGCGUGAAUUGUUAAUCUCUUUUUAAAACCUGUCUACACCCUCUUUCCGCGAGUACAUGCGUUAACUUGGAUUCUCUUUGUCUAACGCGUGCACGCGACAUUUCCAUAUGCGGAAAAUCUGAAAAAUUGCAACGACUAAAAUUGCGGCCAUCGUCGACACAAUAGCAGGAUCCUCACUACCACUACUCGAUGUAAACCAAUAGCCACUUGAUAAGCUCGAUAUUAUUUAUUCAUUUGCGGCAAUCGAUAACUGUUGGAGGUUUUACUGUCAGUGAAGAGCAUACAAUGUAAUAAAUAUUUUAUAUUCGAAUUUUAAUAAGUACAAAAGAAUAUAAAUGUUCAACAAUUUGUGGCACUUAACAAAAAUAAUAUAAAUAUCUACAACGCACUUCUAACGGACAAAUUUAUUGGUGAGAUAUUUUUGGUAAGGCCAUUUGCGCAUUUAUGAUGAAAUCAACUAAACUCUGUGAAAUAUCCAUCUCUAAAAAUAUUACAUGCAUUGCAGGUUUUAUACGCGCAAAAUGAAAUGAUGCAUAACAUUUUUUGUAGUUAAAAAUUUGUUACAGGUUUUUUCGGAAACGAGUUCUCCAUUUAAAUUUUAUGAGAAGUAGAACUAUUUUGCUUUAUGAUGCUGCGUGAUAAACGCGAUUGCAUUUACGUGAAACGCAAUAUUCAUGAGGAUUAUCUGCGGAUAAAUGAUCAACAAUUACGUGAAUAAAAUGCUUUCUUGUCCUGGCAGGCUUUAUCUGAAGAGUCUAUAUUAUCAUGGUCGCUCUCAGCCAGGAACAAGUGCAAGAAUAUCCUCGUAGCAAGCAUCUUAACCCGGCAUCCUUUGAACUUUAUACACGACAAAUUCUCAUCUUCUUGCUGCGUAACAGAGCAUAGAGUUACGAUCGUACAAGCCUCCGCUAUGUACAUCUGCAUUUUCGCAAACAUGUCCAAGUGUUGCAGGAACACCGCAGUUGAUUUAUUCGUGCAUGUAUGAAAACUUAUGAUUAUGUAGCAUUCAAUGAAAAGUAAUUCAGUAAACAUUCAUGAUACUGAAAGUUGUAAAGAAAAGUCACGUUUAUGUCUUAGAAGAAUGAGAAAUUAUGUGUCUUAGAAAAAGCGAGAAAUCGGCAUCACACAGUCGGUUUCAAUAAUCUAGUAAUCCAGGUAAUUAAAAGUCACAUGUGCUCUCCUGUGCAUCUUAAAAUACUUCUGAUAAAGAAGCUUCCAGGAUAACUUUUCGAUUUCAUUCGAAUAAUCGACUUUCGACAAAAGUUUUUUGUGCGCUAUCGUGCGAUUGUCGCUCCUCAGAUUUAAUUCAUGUGAAUAAUCUCUUUUGCAGAGCUAUAUGUAUUACUUAUCCCAUCCGUUUCUCUCCAUAAUUGAAAUGUCGGGAACGUGCAGGAUUAUCGCAAAAGGAAUGAAUUUAAAAAGACAGUAAAAGGAUUUGUCGCUUCGAUUUGUCCACUUGAAUAAAUAUUUUCCACCAGACGCGUCAACGUGGAAAUAACAUUUUCAUCGUGUACGCCCUAAAAAAUUUCGACGAUUUUUAGAGCGACCGGCGACGAGAGCCAGUCGUUUGUUCCGAAUCCCAGAGUCAUCUCUUCCGUCAAAGGGAAGGGACGUAUCAAGGUCUGGCCAUUCGGUGACCCCAAUUCGGUCGUGAGGGCCAGUAGAAUCCACCGUAAUCAAAGGCCUGCUACCCUUCCAACGUGACAUCCUUUGUACAAGCGUCCUCGAGGCCUGGUAUCCCACGAAACUGACUUUAGAUCAACAAAAGCUGCUACUUGCUGUUCACCGAAUUCCAAAGCGUUCAUCCUGCAUGGGGACACAUUUUCGUACUGAUAUGUCGCAGUGAUUUCCGGAAAUCAUCUGAUGUGCAAACGAAAACCGACUAUACAUUCAAAGAGAAAUUAAUACUAUCCUAUACUGUAUUGUAAUAUAUUAAUGAUAAUCUAUUUUAUAUAAUACUAAUAUAUCAUUAUAGAAAGUAUGUUGCGUUUUAUUAAAAAUUAGAUUUAAUUAGUAGUUGAUGAUGUUUCUUAUAAAAUUAUUUAGUAAUUAAUUAAUGUCGUUUCUUGGUAACGCAAAUCAUAGCUUUUUGCUUCAUUAAAAAUCGGCAAGUUUAUUCGUGAUACCGAACGUAAUCCAAUACUCUCACACCUUGAUGAAGCCAGUAGCUGUCACGAAAAGAUAAAUGACGUACCCUUCCGUGAGAGGAGAGAUGUCUUCCCUGUGGGAUACCUCAUAGAUACAAGUGGUGAAUCUUAACUGAGGCACGCUUUAGCCAAGACGAGGCCAACGAUGACCUCGAGGUAACGUACUUCCGGAGGAAAAUGAAGAACGAUCCGUUUGCUACGUUUGUUUUUAGCAUUGUCAUUACACGGUAAUCAAGGAAUGAUAAAGUAAUGAGAGAAUAACGAGUCAAUCUUUCUAAUCACGUUAUAUAUAAAUUAAUGAGACAAACUGUCAAUCUGUUUAACAAAAA